rnacentral:rRNA from 1 species
AGCGAACGCUGGCGGCAGGCCUAACACAUGCAAGUCGAACGAACCUUUCGGGGUUAGUGGCGGACGGGUGAGUAACACGUAGGAACGUGCCUUUAGGUUCGGAAUAACUCAGGGAAACUUGUGCUAAUACCGAAUGUGCCCUUCGGGGGAAAGAUUAAUCGCCUUUAGAGCGGCCCGCGUCUGAUUAGCUAGUUGGUUGAGGUAAUGGCUCACCAAGGCGACGAUCAGUAGCUGGUCUGAGAGGAUGAUCAGCCACAUUGGGACUGAGACACGGCCCAAACUCCUACGGGAGGCAGCAGUGGGGAAUCUUGCGCAAUGGGCGAAAGACUGACGCAGCCAUGCCGCGUGAAUGAUGAAGGUCUUAGGAUUGUAAAAUUCUUUCACCGGGGACGAUAAUGACGGUACCCGGAGAAGAAGCCCCGGCUAACUUCGUG